rnacentral:rRNA from 1 species
UACGUAGGGUGCGAGCGUUAAUCGGAAUUACUGGGCGUAAAGCGUGCGCAGGCGGUGGCUCAAGCCAGGCGUGAAAUCCCCGGGCUUAACCUGGGAAUGGCGUUUGGGACUGGGUCACUAGAGUGUGGCAGAGGGAGGUGGAAUUCCACGUGUAGCAGUGAAAUGCGUAGAGAUGUGGAGGAACACCGAUGGCGAAGGCAGCCUCCUGGGCCAGCACUGACGCUCAUGCACGAAAGCGUGGGGAGCAAACAGG